CCCUGCAGAUUCUUUGCCUCUUGCCGCUGCUGCUGCUGCUGCUGCUGCUGCCGCUCGGCUCGAGCGCUCAGCAGGUUGCUAAGCGACCAGAUUCACAUGAGCCCCGGAAGGCCGGGCGAUUUUCUUUGGGGCGCGCCCGCGCGCGCGCACGCGAAGGGACGCGCAAGCCCCUGCCAGUCUUCUCACUGCCUCGCGCGCUUCCUCUCUGGGAGAGGGGGCAUUUGGGCGGGGCCUCCCGGAGGCCUCUCGCACCAAGGCUGCCAGGUAGCAGCUGGGGGAAUCCAGGUGGAAGUGUGGUGCCUCUUUGCAGCCACCUAGGGGUCGUCUGGAUGUUUGCAGCCCAGAUUUGAUAACAGUUUGCAGCUGAGGAGGGAUGCUGGGACACUUGGUGAGCUUCGCCCUUUAGGCUUUCUCCCAGGUUUGGUGGCUUUGAGAUCUGGGGUGAGAUAAGGUCAAUCUUCCUUUGAUUCUUCAUCAAAAUGUACUUGAAGGAGGAAAGACAUAAAGCUGAUUUAUGUGUCAGGAGUCAUUUCAAGGAACUGCGUUCCAGAAAUGUGAUUCUUGUAAGUGAUGAUGACACAAAUUUAUCUGAAGCAAUAUUUAUUCACAAGGAACUGGGCGGAGCUGAGUGAAGCAAAUUUCCUUGUCUAGAAAUCUCUGAAAGGAGCCUGUCUUGUAUAAGAGCUGUAUAAAAUGUGCCAGAUUGCAAAUAUGA